rnacentral:rRNA from 1 species
ACGUAGGGGGCAAGCGUUGUCCGGAUUUACUGGGUGUAAAGGGCGCGUAGGCGGGUUUGUAAGUCAGCGGUGAAAUCCUUUAGCUUAACUAUAGAACUGCCGUUGAUACUGCAAGUCUUGAGUUUGGAAGAGGGUAGCGGAAUUCCAGGUGUAGUGGUGAAAUGCGUAGAUAUGUGGAGGAACACCAGUGGCGAAGGCGGCUUCUUGGUCCAUAACUGACGCUGAGGCGCGAAAGCGUGGGGAGCGAACAG